GAGGAAAGUCCGGACUCCUUAUAGAAGUUGAUUGUUGAAGAAAUUUCAAUAUAAGUGAUUAUGAGGAUAGUGCCACAGAAAAAUACCGCCUUGUUAUUUUUAUGAUGUCAAGGUAAGGGUGCAAAGGUGUAUUAAGAGUGCACCAGUAGUAUUGUUGAAAUACUUGCUAGGUAAACCCCAUCGAGGAGCAAAGAUGUAAUGUGAUAAGUUUCUAUAAAUCCAAACACAAUGGUUUACUUAUAAGUAAAUACUGCAUGAAGUAGCAUAUAUGAAUACACUACUUUAGAUUAAUAACUACCCUUUCACUAUGUAAAUGUGGAAGAACUAAAUCCGGCUUAU
rnacentral:RNase_P_RNA from 1 species